ensembl:lncRNA novel transcript
GCCUCUCCCGGUACCUGCUGCUGCUCCCGGGGCUUCGGGAAAUGCGAGAGUCUGAGCCGGGGAGGAGGAACCCGAGCAGCGGCGGCGGCGGCCGCGGCGGCGGGAGCCCCCCAAGAGGAGGACCGGGAUCCAUGUGUCUUUCCUGGUGACUAGGAUGUCGUCGGAGGAGAACAAGUGCGUGGAGCAGCCGCAGCCACCACCCCCCGAGGAGCCUGGAGCCCCGGCCCCGAGCCCCCCAGCCGCAGACAAAAGACCUCGGGGCCGGCCUCGCAAGGCGCUUCCCCUUUCCAGAGAGCCAGAAAGAAACUCAGCCCACCUGCACCCAGGUGAAAUAAACAGCUUUAUUGCUCACACGAAGCCUGUUUGGUGGUCUCUUCACACGGAUGCGCAUGAAAUUUGGUGCCGUGACUUGGAUCGGGGGACCUCCCUUAGGAGAUCAAUCCCCCGUCCUCCUGCUCUUUGCUCCGUGAGAAAGAUCCACCUACGACCUCAGGUCCUCAGACCGACCAGCCCAAGAAACAUCUCACCAAUUUCAAAUCUGAUCUAUUCGGCUUAGCGACUGAAGAUUGACGCUGCCCGAUCGCCUCGGAAGUCCCCUGGACCAUCACAGAAGCCGAGCUUCGGGUAACUCUCACAGUGGAGGGUAAGUCCAUCCCCUGUUUAAUCGAUACGGGGGCUACCCACUCCACGUUGCCUUCUUUUCAAGGGCCUGUUUCCCUUGCCCCCAUAACUGUUGUGGGUAUUGACGGCCAAGCUUCAAAACCCCUGAAAACUCCCCCACUCUGGUGCCAACUUGGACAACACUCUUUUAUGCACUCUUUUUUAGUUAUCCCCACCUGCCCACUUCCCUUAUUAGGCCGAAAUAUUUUAACCAAAUUAUCUGCUUCCCUGACUAUUCCUGGAGUACAGCUACAUCUCAUUGCUGCCCUUCUUCCCAAUCCAAAGCCUCCUUUGUGUCCUCUAACAUCCCCACAAUAUCACCCCUUACCACAAGACCUCCCUUCAGCUUAAUCUCUCCCACUCUAGGUUCCCACGCCGCCCCUAAUCCCACUUGAAGCAGCCCUGAGAAACAUCGCCCAUUCUCUCUCCAUACCACCCCCCAAAAAUUUUCGCCGCUCCAACACUUCAACACUAUUUUGUUUUAUUUGUCUUAUUAAUAUCAGAAGGCAGGAAUGUCAGGCCUCUGAGCCCAGGCCAGGCCAUCGCAUCCCCUGUGACUUGCACGUAUACAUCCAGAUGGCCUGAAGUAACUGAAGAUCCACAAAAGAAGUAAAAACAGCCUUAACUGAUGACAUUCCACCAUUGUGAUUUGUUCCUGCCCCACCCUAACUGAUCAAUGUACUUUGUAAUCUCCCCCACCCUUAAGAAGGUUCUUUGUAAUUCUCCCCACCCUUGAGAAUGUACUUUGUGAGAUCCACCCCUGCCCACCAGAGAACAACCCCCUUUGAUUGUAAUUUUUUAUUACCUUCCCAAAUCCUAUAAAACAGCCCCACCCCUAUCUUCCUUCACUGACUCUCUUUUCGGACUCAGCCCACCGGCACCCAGGUGAAAUAAACAGCUUUAUUGCUCACACAAA